GAAUGCUGACAUAAGUAACGAUAAAGCGGGUGAAAAGCCCGCUCGCCGGAAGACCAAGGGUUCCUGUCCAACGUUAAUCGGGGCAGGGUGAGUCGACCCCUAAGGCGAGGCCGAAAGGCGUAGUCGAUGGGAAACGGGUUAAUAUUCCCGUACUUGGUGUUACUGCGAAGGGGGGACGGAGAAGGCUAUGUUGGCCGGGCGACGGUUGUCCCGGUUUAAGCGUGUAGGUGUGUGUUCCAGGUAAAUCCGGUUCACUUUAACACUGAGGCGUGACGACGAGGCACUACGGUGCUGAAGCAACAAAUGCCCUGCUUCCAGGAAAAGCCUCUAAGCAUCAGGUAACAUCAAAUCGUACCCCAAACCGACACAGGUGGUCAGGUAGAGAAUACCAAGGCGCUUGAGAGAACUCGGGUGAAGGAACUAGGCAAAAUGGUGCCGUAACUUCGGGAGAAGGCACGCUGACACGUAGGUGAAGUGAUUUACUCAUGGAGCUGAAGUCAGUCGAAGAUACCAGCUGGCUGCAACUGUUUAUUAAAAACACAGCACUGUGCAAACACGAAAGUGGACGUAUACGGUGUGACGCCUGCCCGGUGCCGGAAGGUUAAUUGAUGGGGUCAGCGCAAGCGAAGCUCCUGAUCGAAGCCCCGGUAAACGGCGGCCGUAACUAUAACGGUCCUAAGGUAGCGAAAUUCCUUGUCGGGUAAGUUCCGACCUGCACGAAUGGCGUAAUGAUGGCCAGGCUGUCUCCACCCGAGACUCAGUGAAAUUGAACUCGCUGUGAAGAUGCAGUGUACCCGCGGCAAGACGGAAAGACCCCGUGAACCUUUACUAUAGCUUGACACUGAACAUUGAGCCUUGAUGUGUAGGAUAGGUGGGAGGCUUUGAAGCGUGGACGCCAGUCUGCGUGGAGCCGACCUUGAAAUACCACCCUUUAAUGUUUGAUGUUCUAACGUGGACCCGUAAUCCGGGUUGCGGACAGUGUCUGGUGGGUAGUUUGACUGGGGCGGUCUCCUCCUAAAGAGUAACGGAGGAGCACGAAGGUUGGCUAAUCCUGGUCGGACAUCAGGAGGUUAGUGCAAUGGCAUAAGCCAGCUUGACUGCGAGCGUGACGGCGCGAGCAGGUGCGAAAGCAGGUCAUAGUGAUCCGGUGGUUCUGAAUGGAAGGGCCAUCGCUCAACGGAUAAAAGGUACUCCGGGGAUAACAGGCUGAUACCGCCCAAGAGUUCAUAUCGACGGCGGUGUUUGGCACCUCGAUGUCGGCUCAUCACAUCCUGGGGCUGAAGUAGGUCCCAAGGGUAUGGCUGUUCGCCAUUUAAAGUGGUACGCGAGCUGGGUUUAGAACGUCGUGAGACAGUUCGGUCCCUAUCUGCCGUGGGCGCUGGAGAACUGAGGGGGGCUGCUCCUAGUACGAGAGGACCGGAGUGGACGCAUCACUGGUGUUCGGGUUGUCAUGCCAAUGGCACUGCCCGGUAGCUACAUGCGGAAGAGAUAAGUGCUGAAAGCAUCUAAGCACGAAACUUGCCCCGAGA
rnacentral:rRNA from 1 species